GCACUUAUAGCUCAGCGGUAGAGCAAUUGAUUGCAGCUCAAUAGGUCCCUGGUUCGAGUCCGGGUGAGUGCU